rnacentral:rRNA from 1 species
GUGAGGAAUUUUCCGCAAUGGGCGAAAGCCUGACGGAGCAAUGCCGCGUGAAGGAUGAAGGCCUAUGGGUUGUAAACUUCUUUUCUCAGAAAAGAAUUAUGACGGUAUCUGAGGAAUAAGCAUCGGCUAACUCUGUGCCAGCAGCCGCGGUAAGACAGAGGAUGCAAGCGUUAUCCGGAAUGAUUGGGAGUAAAGCGUCUGUAGGUUGUUUAAAAAGUAUUCUGUCAAAGAUUAGGGCUUAACCCUAGAUAGGCAGAAUAAACUUUUAAGCUAGAGUUUGGUAGAGGCAGAGGGAAUUCCCGGUGGAGCGGUGAAAUGCGUAGAUAUCGGGAGGAACACCAAAGGCGAAGGCACUCUGCUGGGCCAAUACUAACACUGAGAGACGAAAGCGAGGGGAGCAAAUGGGAUUAGAUACCCUAGUAGUCC